CCGGUUGUUGAUUUCCGGUACGCUUUCCUACAUCCGGCGUGCCACCCGUGUUUAUAAAGCUGUCUCGUAUAUCACUUUCCCCCUCCCUUCAAAAACUUGGAUACCGUUUGGCUUUUGAACUGCAAAUAAAAAACACUUUACCGAAGCUAUUCCUGUACACUACGCAGAACCAUGCCUGUGUUUCAUACCAAGACGAUCGAGGCCAUCUUGGAGCCAGUCGCACAACAAGU